CAGCCGCCGCGGUAAUACGAAGGGGGCUAGCGUUGUUCGGAAUUACUGGGCGUAAAGCGCACGUAGGCGGAUAUUUAAGUCAGGGGUGAAAUCCCGCAGCUCAACUGCGGAACUGCCUUUGAUACUGGGUAUCUUGAGUAUGGAAGAGGUUAGUGGAAUUGCGAGUGUAGAGGUGAAAUUCGUAGAUAUUCGCAGGAACACCAGUGGCGAAGGCGGCUAACUGGUCCAUAACUGACGCUGAGGUGCGAAAGUGUGGGGAGCAAACAGGAUUAGAUACCCCGGUAGUCCCUGUCUCUUAUAC
rnacentral:rRNA from 1 species